rnacentral:rRNA from 1 species
ACUCCUACGGGAGGCAGCAGUGGGGAAUUUUGGACAAUGGGCGCAAGCCUGAUCCAGCCAUUCCGCGUGAGUGAAGAAGGCCUUCGGGUUGUAAAGCUCUUUCGGCAGGAACGAAACGGCGGGCUCUAACAUAGCCUGUUAAUGACGGUACCUGAAGAAGAAGCACCGGCUAACUACGUGCCAGCAGCCGCGGUAAU